GAUAGGGCUUCCUUUGGGGGCAGCGGUGCCAGGUGGUCCAUGGUGUUGUUCAGUUCGUUUCGUGAGAUGUUGGGUUAAUUCCCGCAACGAGCCCAACCUUUUUCUUUAGUUGCCACCAUUCAGUUGGCCAUUUAAGAGAGACUCCGGUGGCCAAGACGGAGGAAGGGGGGGAGGACGUCAAUUCUUCAUCCCCCUUAUGCCUUGGGUUCCCCACGGGUUCCAAUGGCUGGUCCAACGGGAAGCCAGCUCGCGAGAGUAAGCCAUUCUCUUAAAACCAGUCUCAGUUCGGAUUGCAGGCUGCAACUCGCCUGCAUGAAGUCG
rnacentral:rRNA from 1 species